rnacentral:rRNA from 1 species
GGACAACGUUUCGAAAGGAACGCUAAUACCGCAUACGUCCUACGGGAGAAAGCAGGGGACCUUCGGGCCUUGCGCUAUCAGAUGAGCCUAGGUCGGAUUAGCUAGUUGGUGGGGUAAUGGCUCACCAAGGCGACGAUCCGUAACUGGUCUGAGAGGAUGAUCAGUCACACUGGAACUGAGACACGGUCCAGACUCCUACGGGAGGCAGCAGUGGGGAAUAUUGGACAAUGGGCGAAAGCCUGAUCCAGCCAUGCCGCGUGUGUGAAGAAGGUCUUCGGAUUGUAAAGCACUUUAAGUUGGGAGGAAGGGCAGUAAGUUAAUACCUUGCUGUUUUGACGUUACCGACAGAAUAAGCACCGGCUAACUCUGUGCCAGCAGCCGCGGUAAUACAGAGGGUGCAAGCGUUAAUCGGAAUUACUGGGCGUAAAGCGCGCGUAGGUGGUUUGUUAAGUUGGAUGUGAAAGCCCCGGGCUCAACCUGGGAACUGCAUCCAAAACUGGCAAGCUAGAGUACGGUAGAGGGUGGUGGAAUUUCCUGUGUAGCGGUGAAAUGCGUAGAUAUAGGAAGGAACACCAGUGGCGAAGGCGACCACCUG